UACGUAGGGGGCGAGCGUUGUCCGGAUUUAUUGGGCGUAAAGAGCUCGUAGGCGGCUUAGCAAGUCGGGUGUGAAAACUCCAGGCUCAACCUGGAGACGCCACUCGAGACUGCUAUGGCUAGAGUCCGGUAGGGGACCACGGAAUUCCUGGUGUAGCGGUGAAAUGCGCAGAUAUCAGGAGGAACACCGGUGGCGAAGGCGGAUCUCUGGGCCUGUUCUGACGCUGAGGCGCGAAAGCUAGGGGAGCGAACAGG
rnacentral:rRNA from 1 species